GAUGAACGCUGGCGGCGUGCCUAAUACAUGCAAGUCGAGCGAAUAGACGAGGAGCUUGCUCCUCUGACGUUAGCGGCGGACGGGUGAGUAACACGUGGAUAACCUACCUAUAAGACUGGGAUAACUUCGGGAAACCGGAGCUAAUACCGGAUAAUAUAUUGAACCGCAUGGUUCAAUAGUGAAAGACGGUUUUGCUGUCACUUAUAGAUGGAUCCGCGCCGCAUUAGCUAGUUGGUAAGGUAACGGCUUACCAAGGCAACGAUGCGUAGCCGACCUGAGAGGGUGAUCGGCCACACUGGAACUGAGACACGGUCCAGACUCCUACGGGAGGCAGCAGUAGGGAAUCUUCCGCAAUGGGCGAAAGCUUGACGGAGCAACGCCGCGUGAGUGAUGAAGGUCUUCGGAUCGUAAAACUCUGUUAUUAGGGAAGAACAAAUGUGUAAGUAACUAUGCACGUCUUGACGGUACCUAAUCAGAAAGCCACGGCUAACUACGUG
rnacentral:rRNA from 1 species